rnacentral:rRNA from 1 species
GUGCCAGCCGCCGCGGUAAUACCGGCAGCUCAAGUGAUGUCCCAUAUUAUUGGGCCUAAAGCGUCCGUAGCUGGCCGACCAAGUCUCCCGGGAAAUCCACCCGCCCAACGGGCGGCCGUCCGGCGGAACCUGUGUGGCUUGGGACCGGGAGGCCUGAGGGGUACGAUCGGGGUAGGAGUGAAAUCCCAUAAUCCCGCACGGACCACCGAUGGCGAAAGCACUUCGAGAAAACGGAUCCGACAGUGAGGGACGAAAGCCAGGGUCUCCAACCGGAUUAGAUACCCUUGUAGUCC